AGAGUUUGAUCAUGGCUCAGAUUGAACGCUGGCGGAAUGCUUUACACAUGCAAGUCGAACGGCAGCAUAGAGAGCUUGCUCUCUGAUGGCGAGUGGCGAACGGGUGAGUAAUAUAUCGGAACGUGCCUAGUAAUGGGGAACAACUAGCUGAAAGGUUAGCUAAUACCGCAUACGACCUACGGGUGAAAGCAGGGGAUCUUCGGACCUUGCGUUAUUAGAGCGGCCGAUAUCUGAUUAGCUUGUUGGUGGGGUAAUGGCCUACCAAGGCGACGAUCAGUAGCUGGUCUGAGAGGACGAUCAGCCACACUGGAACUGAGACACGGUCCAGACUCCUACGGGAGGCAGCAGUGGGGAAUUUUGCACAAUGGGGGAAACCCUGAUGCAGCCAUUCCGCGUGAGUGAAGAAGGCCUUCGGGUUGUAAAGCUCUUUCGCAAGAGAAGAAAACUUAUAAUCUAAUAUAUUGUAAGUAUGACGGUAUCUUGAUAAGAAGCACCGGCUAACUACGUGCCAGCAGCCGCGGUAAUACGUAGGGUGCAAGCGUUAAUCGGAAUUACUGGGCGUAAAGCGUGCGCAGGCAGUUUUAUAAGUCAGAUGUGAAAUCCCCGAGCUCAACUUGGGAACUGCGUUUGAAACUGUAAGACUAGAGUGUGUCAGAGGGGGGUAGAAUUCCACGUGUAGCAGUGAAAUGCGUAGAGAUGUGGAGGAAUACCAAUGGCGAAGGCAGCCCCCUGGGAUAACACUGACGCUCAUGCACGAAAGCGUGGGGAGCAAACAGGAUUAGAUACCCUGGUAGUCCACGCCCUAAACGAUGUCUACUAGUUGUUGGUGGAGUAAAAUCCAUGAGUAACGCAGCUAACGCGUGAAGUAGACCGCCUGGGGAGUACGGUCGCAAGAUUAAAACUCAAAUGAAUUGACGGGGGCCCGCACAA
rnacentral:rRNA from 1 species